UACGGAGGGUGCGAGCGUUGUCCGGAAUCACUGGGCGUAAAGCGCACGUAGGCGGAUUCGUAAGUCAGGGGUGAAAUCCCGGGGCUCAACCUCGGAACUGCCUUUGAUACUGCGGGUCUUGAGUCCGAUAGAGGUGGGUGGAAUUCCUAGUGUAGAGGUGAAAUUCGUAGAUAUUAGGAAGAACACCGGUGGCGAAGGCGGCCCACUGGAUCGGUACUGACGCUGAGGUGCGAAAGCGUGGGGAGCAAACAGG
rnacentral:rRNA from 1 species